CAAGGAAGGCAGCAGGCACGCAAAUUACCCAAUCCCAGCUCGGGGAGGUAGUGACGAAAAAUAACAAUGCGGGACUCUUCCGAGUCUGCGUAAUUGGAAUGAGCACACUUUAAAUCCUUUAGCAACAACCAAUUGGAGGGCAAGUCUGGUGCCAGCAGCCGCGGUAAUUCCAGCUCCAAUAGCGUAUAUUAAAGUUGUUGCGGUUAAAAAGCUCGUAGUUGGAGGUCAGUUCCGGACUGGGGUGGGAGGUCACCGCCCGGUGCUUCCCCGUCAGGCUCCGAACAGCUUCCGUGAGUGGAAGCCAAGCCGGUUCUGCCGGGGUGCUCUUUACCGAGUGUCCCGCGCGGCCGGCCAGUUCACCUUGAAUAAAUGAGAGUGCUCAAAGCAGGCUACUCUGGAAUACAAUGCCCGAAUGUUACCUGCAUGGAAUGAUGGAAGAUGAUCUCGGUUCCAUUUUGUUGGUGGUGGGAGCCAGAGGUAAUGAUAAAGAGGGACUGUCGGGGGCAUCCGUACUACGACGCGAGAGGUGAAAUUCAGUGACCGUCGUAGGACGAACAACAGCGAAAGCAUUUGCCAAGAAUGUCUUCGUUGAUCAAGAACGAAAGUUAGAGGAUCGAAGGCGAUCAGAUACCGCCCUAGUUCUAACCCUAAACGAUGCUGACUAGCAAUUCGCCGUCGUUAUUCCCAUGACGUGGCGAGACGCCCCCGGGAAACCUCAAGUCUUUGAGUUCCGGGGGUAGUAUGGUUGCAAAAGUGAAACUUAAAGGAAUUGACGGAAGGGCACCACCAGGAGUGGAGCCUGCGGCUUAAUUUGACUCAACACGGGAAAGCUCACCAGGCCCGGACACCAGAAGGAUUGACAGAUUAAGAGCUCUUUCUCGAUUUGGUGGGUGGUGGUGCAUGGCCGUUCUUAGUUGGUGGAGUGAUUUGUCUGGUUAAUUCCGGUAACGAACGAGACUCUGGCCUACUAAAUAGUGGACGUUGGUUUUGGUGCAUGGGCCACGUUCGAUACAGUCUUCUUAGAGGGAUGAGCAGCGAGUAUAGCUGCAGGAGAUUGAGCAAUAACAGGUCUGUGAUGCCCUUAGAUGUCCUGGGCCGCACGCGCGCUACACUGAAUGGGUUAGCGGGUUGUCCUUUUCCGAGAGGAGCGGGAAAUCGCGUGAAAACCAUUCGUGAUAGGGAUUGGGGCUUGCAAUUGUUUCCCAUGAACGAGGAAUUCCCAGUAAGCGCAAGUCAUCAGCUUGCGUUGAUUAAGUCCCUGCCCUUUGAACACACCGCCCGUCGCUACUACCGAUUGAAUGAUUUAGUGAGGCCUUCGGACUGGCGGUCUUGGACUGGGGCGGCGGGUUUGUUCCAGCAAUGGGAUGCCGUCGACUCGCCUAGACGGGCCGGAAAGAUGUCCAAACUUGAUCAUUUAGAGGAAGUAAAAGUCGUAACAAGGUUUCC
rnacentral:rRNA from 1 species